UACGUAGGGUGCAAGCGUUACUCGGAAUUACUGGGCGUAAAGCGUGCGCAGGCGGCUUUGCAAGUCAGAUGUGAAAUCCCCGGGCUUAACCUGGGAACUGCAUUUGUGACUGCAUGGCUGGAGUGCGGCAGAGGGGGAUGGAAUUCCGCGUGUAGCAGUGAAAUGCGUAGAUAUGCGGAGGAACACCGAUGGCGAAGGCAAUCCCCUGGGCCUGCACUGACGCUCAGGCACGAAAGCGUGGGGAGCAAACAGG
rnacentral:rRNA from 1 species